rfam:Ictidomys tridecemlineatus contig035497, whole genome shotgun sequence.
GGGGGUAUAGCUUAGUGGCAGAGCACUUUCCUAGUGUGGGUGAGGCCCUGGGUUCAAUUCCCAGUACUCCCC